rnacentral:rRNA from 1 species
UAUGAAACAAUAAGAGAUGAGGUGUAAGGAUGGUUUAAUGACAGUUAUUAGGUGAUUUAAUUACUAUUGAGUGAGUACUCUGAGAAGGUGAAAAGCCUGUAUAAUUGCCGUACAUAGCUGUCGUAAACUAUCUAAGAGUCUAGUUGUUUGAGAGUACAACUUAAAGCUGGUGGUAAAUUUCAUCAAAGGCUAAAUAUUGAAAGGGACUAAUAGCGAACAAGUACCAUGAGGGAAAGUUGAAAAGAACUCUGAAGAGAGAGUUCAAUAGUACGUGAAACCAUAAUGAGUAAAACGGAUAACUGUACUAUUUUAGUGUUUUGCUUUUCAACAGUUAGUAGCGAUAUUCGACAGUGCGAGAAUUAGCUGUUUUUCAGCGAAAUUCACGUAGGUAGAAUGCCGUCAUAAGCUGUGAUUUAGUGCAAUUCCUAUCAUUAAAAAGCUUUAUGAUCCUGGCAGAGGUGUGUUGCAGUUCGCACUAUGUGCGAAGUAACAUGCUGUGCUAUGUGGUUGUUGAGUUUGGCUGAGAUUACUUUAGUCCGAGGUGCUUAAAGCUUUUGCUACAUGUGUGUCUAGCAGACUUGUUUAUUCUGGUUUGUGGCGAUCAUGUGGUAAUUGUUUGCGCUUCACGUUUAAUGAUCAAGUACUAGUUAUUCGACCCGUCUUGAAACACGGACCAAGGAGUUCAAAUGGCACGCGAGUCAUUGGGUGUAAACAUCCAAAGGCGAAGUGAAAUGCGAGCGUAUUGUUAUUUGUGGUAUCCACGAAAAAAUGAUAAGCUACUGAUGCUAUCAGGCAUUUGUAGACUACAAGCGUGUCGUUUGAGACCCGAAAGAUGGUGAUCUAUGCCUAGUCAAGAUGAAGCCAGAGGAAACUCUGGUGGAUGUCUGAAGUUUUUCUGACGUGCAAAUCGAUAAUCUGAUCUGGGUAUAGGGGCGAAAGACUAAUCGAACCAUCUAGUAGCUGGUUCCUUCCGAAGUUUCCCUCAGGAUAGCAAGCGUACAACGGUAGUUUCAUCCAGUAAAGCGAAUGAUUAGAGGUAUUGGGGCAUAUGUAGCCUCAACCUAUUCUCAAACUUUUAAUGGGUGUGAGUUCUCUUUCUUAAUUGAAGAGCUACUAAUAAAUAAGUAUGCUUAGUGGGCCAUUUUUGGUAAGCAGAACUGGCGCUGUGGGUUGAACCAAAUGUUGAGUUAAAGUGCCUAAAGCUGAAAUGCGUAUGAGAUCUAUAAAGGGUGUUAGUUGCUGAAGACAGCAGG